GAUGAACGCUGGCGGCGUGCCUAAUACAUGCAAGUCGAGCGAACGGACGAGAAGCUUUCUUCUCUGAUGUUAGCGGCGGACGGGUGAGUAACACGUGGAUAACCUACCUAUAAGACUGGGAUAACUUCGGGAAACCGGAGCUAAUACCGGAUAAUAUUUUGAACCGCAUGGUUCAAAAGUGAAAGACGGUCUUGCUGUCACUUAUAGAUGGAUCCGCGCUGCAUUAGCUAGUUGGUAAGGUAACGGCUUACCAAGGCAACGAUGCAUAGCCGACCUGAGAGGGUGAUCAGCCACCCUGGAACUGAGACACGGUCCAGACUCCUACGGGAGGCAGCAGUAGGGAAUCUUCCGCAAUGGGCGAAAGCCUGACGGAGCAACGCCGCGUGAGUGAUGAAGGUCUUCGGAUCGUAAAACUCUGUUAUUAGGGAAGAACAUAUGUGUAAGUAACUGUGCACAUCUUGACGGUACCUAAUCAGAAAGCCACGGCUAACUACGUG
rnacentral:rRNA from 1 species